UCAUUUAUAUUGAAUGUUAUUGUUAUGUUAUGCCUUUUAUCAACUUAGCUCUUCCAGUUCUCUUUGAUUUUCACUUUUAUAUGUUCUUUUUCUGUCUUAAUCUAUUUACUACUGCGUUACCAGAAUACUGCAGACUGGGUAAUUUGUAAAUGUAGGAAUUUCACUUUUCCAGUUCUAGUAGCUCAGAGAUCCAAGGUUGCAGGGACACACUGGUGAGGGGAAUGGCAUCUGACCAGAGUAGGCCCAGGGCCAGUCUCUUUUUCUAUAGUGAGCCCACCUGGUGACAACUGACCACUAUUGUCUUAGGAGCAUCAGUGCGUUCAUGGGAGUGAACCCUUUGGGACCUAAACUCUUCCUACUAGGCCACCUCUUCGUACAGUGGCAAUUAAAUUUCAACAUGACUAUUGGAGGGGACAUUCAGCCCAUUGCAUCUUCCUUCCUGUAGGCUGCUUAAACAAUUUCUUAAAAUUCUAUUUUGUUUUAUUUAUAGUAUUUUCAGCCUAUCUCAUAUCAAUAUGUAUCAUAUUAUACAAUAUCUAUACUACCUUAUAUAUACCCAACUUACGUGAAGACUGUUGGUGUUAAGAUUUGAUCAGCUUGAGGGGAAUGCAAGAACUAUAUCUUACUUUAGGUUCCUUUAACCUCUACCUUUUAUGAUUGUCUUCAAAAUUUCUUCUCCACUCAUUUAGAAUCAUAUUACAUAAUAGAAAAUGCUAGCAGAAAAAGAAAAUGGAUUGCCUUUGCUAUAUUUUUAUUUUUUCUGAUGUUCUUUUUCCAUCAUUAUUUCUUUUAUCAUUUCCUUUCUCUUUCGAGAACACCUACCGGCCAUUCAUUUUGGGCUGGUCUGCCUGGCAACAACUGUUUUUAGUUUUCCAUUAUCUGAGGAUAUCUUGAUUUUUCUUUCCUUGUCGAAGAAUAUUUUCAAGAGUACAGGACAAUCAUCGCUGACAUUCUCAGCUGACAGUGAUUUCCCACCAGCCCUGGCAGCAGGCUCCCUCACUUCUGCGAGCUUCCUGCCUUUGAGAUUGUUUCUCCCUACUGCAAUGAGUCAUUUCUCUCUUGCUGGUUCUAAUAUAUUUUCUUUUUGUUUCCAAAGGUUUGAUGUACAUUGUUGUGGAUUUCUUUGGAAUUACUCUUUUGUGGUUUUUUCAGCUUCUUGAAUCUGCUCUUCUAUCUUUUUUCCCCGCAAAUUUGGAAUUUUUUAGUCUUUGAGUGCUUUUUAGCUCUACUCUCUUCUUUCCAUUCAAGACCCCAACCGCACAAAUAUAGAUUUUUUAUUGUAUUCAGACAGGUUCCUGGGGCAGUGAUCAUUUUCUCACAGUCUAUGUUCUCCAGGUUCCAGACUGGGAAAGAUCUGUCCUCCAGUUCAUGGGUUAUUUCCUUUAUGUUCCUAUUCUAUUGAGGAUUCUUGUGUUUUGUUUCAUUUUUGCAGCAUGGUGGAUUGAAACAAGGGGCUUUGCCUUGAGUUACAUCCCAGCCCUUAUGGGAAGGAAACUUUAUUUUAUUUUGAGCCAUGUCCUCACUAUUUUGUUAGCUGGAAUUUGUGAUCCUCCUGCCUCAGUCUCCCAGAGUGCUGGGUUUAGAGGAAUGUGCCACCACACUUGCUAAAGAUUUUACUUGGGUUAUUAUAUUUUUCAGUUCUGAAGUUCCAGUGUAUUUUUUCUUUAAAUCUCCUAUUCAUUUUAGCUUAUAUUUGUCUUUUCUUGUCUUAUUUUAUUUUAUGAUAUGAACAUUUCACACUAGCUAAACACUCUGGACAAACUUCUAAGUGUAUAAUACAUUAGUGUUGACUAUAGGUAUGAUGUUGUAUAAUAGAUCUCCAGAGCUUGUUAAUUUUGCCUACAACUUUAUAUUCAUUAACCAAUGAGUCCUUAUUUUCUCUUUCCUGUCCUAGACCUUGGAAACAAUCAUUCCAAACUUUGAUUCUAUGAAUUGGACUAUUUAAAAAUGCAUCAUUUAAGUGUAAUCAUGCAGUUGACCUACUCAUGUGGGCGUAAGGCUUCUUACAUUUUUAAAGAGUUGUUCUGUGACUAACAUGCAAUAUGUCCUUGGGAAAAACCCACAUGAACCUGAGAAGAAUGUGCAUUCUGCUGCUGCUGGAAUAAUGUUCUGUAUGCAUGCAUCAUUACCAUUUGGUCUGGAGUGUAUUAUGCAGCACUCUGAGAAGGUAAAAAAGGUGCAUCCCCAUCUUCAUCAGGGGAGCAAAAUUGCCAUGUUUUCCACUUCGCCACAUUGACAUCUGAGGGAGGCUCUGCUAUUCCUGGGUGCAGGUCGAACUCUGGCUCGUCCUUUGAUUUCCACUGCUGUGCCCCAGCUGUCACGAGUGUGUUAAUGCAGCCUGUGUGUCCUGCACUGACACAGCAGCUGGAGGCAGUGGGAAAGCCCUGGAUCCCUGCAUGCCUCAUGGACCUCAUCCCAGGGUGGAGUAGGACUAGUGCCUCAUGACUGCAGCUGGACGGAAGCUCUGGUUUCCCUGAGUCUCCUUGAUGUCUCAGAGCUCUGAGGUCUUCUCACAAGCAGACAGACAGUGCUGGUUUCCUCUUCCCUCUCUGACACCACUGAGGGCAGCUGAUGACGGUGACAAUCCAGGCUCCUCGCUGAAGCUUUGCUCUGGGCAGGGUGGCACCACAGCCUGUUCUGCAGUGUUUGGCUGGAGUAGAGCAGAGUCUGUCUCCAAGUUCGCUGUCUUGCUGGGCGGCCCCUUCGGUGAGCUGCUGGCUGAAGAGAAAAGGCUUCCAGGAGGCAUUGCUGUGGUUGUCUGCACUUGUUGGCAUUUCUGGGUGGCCACGUUCUUCACUGCAUAUGCGAGGUUUAUAAAGCAAAAAGAAAAUCC